ensembl:lncRNA
AGUCAGAAUAAACUAAGACUUAUGAUAAACUAUAGCCUACAUUUUCUCUAAACUGACACCUCAGUAUUUGUCUUUUUACCAUGCAGGCUAAAUUCAGUUUGUUGUAUAUGUGACCUGACGCGUGUCUCUUGUUGGACACGGAGGAAGUGAAUGGGGAGGAGAGCACGUGCUGUGAGGGAUUAAUCGCAUGGUCUGGAUGAGGCCCAAAAGUGAGCUUCAACACCUCCAGCCAAACUCCAAGGCCGCUUCAUCUACAAUAAAUGUGAAGAUGAGGACAUUUUCCUGAGUAUUUGCGGGCUAUUCCCUUUGCUGGGGCAGCAGCGUGUGAUCAGCGGGAGUUUUUUUUUUUUUGGAGCAGAGGCAAGCGGUUCUCUGAGAGUUAUCAUUCAGCGUGUGAUAUCAGGCUCCGAGGCCCUCCAGCCAAACACCCGCCAGAGACGUCUCCUGCCGAUGUCCUAACACGCCAUGAAAUUAUAGGGCUCCUUGGCUAUUGUGAGAGAGCUGUUUGAAGUCUCAUUCUGACGGCACCCAUUCACUGCAGAGGAUCCAUUGGUGAGCAAGUGAUGUAAUGCUAAAUUUAUCCAAAUCUGUUCCGAUGAAGAAACAAACUCAUCUACACCUUGGAUAUCUUGAAGAGCGGCUCCAUUGAUCGGAGGAGCCAUUUCUCCUGUCGUGCAAACAUCUGGCUGGAGGCCCUGGUGUGUGCGGAGCAGGGGACAGAUGAGCUGUCGCUGUGUCUGACUGAUGAGGCUGGUCGCUAGAGGACGGUCACCAUGGAGAUAAUAGUAUAUCUUAUAGGACCACUGAGAGAGCGAGAAAGAGAGAGAAGGCUUGUCUUCAGCACAAUAAAUAUAAGAGGGUGAGGGGGUUGGGGGGAAUGUGACCCCCCUCAUCCGUCCCCUAGCCAAGGCUGGCCCCCAAGGACACCGCUGUGAGAUUGGCCACCAAUGGGACAGGAAAUCGAAGAAGAGCGAAGAGAAAGAAAAGGUGUGAUUUCACUAGCUAAAUUACCCACGGGACUGAUGAGAGAAACAAAUCAGCGAGUGAGAGUCCUGCAUCAAGGAGCCAAUAUCACAGCACAUCUCUUAGACUGAAAUAUGAGCCCAUCAUUGAACAAAAUACGGUGUUUCUGUACAAUGUCAUAACUUACACCACCAAAAAAAACAAAGCAUGAUUGAACAGGCAUAAAAUAACUUUGCCCUGACACCAUGAGCAAAUUGCGAGUGCUCGUGCUAUCGGAGAUAAACACUGGUGCGCCCUGCAACAUGCCCCAAU